rnacentral:rRNA from 1 species
CAGCCGCCACGGUAAAACGGAGGGGGCUAGCGUUGUUCGGAAUUACUGGGCGUAAAGCGCACGUAGGCGGCUUGGUAAGUUAGAGGUGAAAGCCUGGAGCUCAACUCCAGAAUUGCCUUUAAGACUGCCGAGCUAGCAGGUGAGAGAGGUAAGUGGAAUUCCGAGUGUAGAGGUGAAAUUCGUAGAUAUUCGGAAGAGCACCAGUGGCGAAGGCGGCUUACUGGCUCAUACUGGACGCUGAGGUGCGAAAGCGUGGGGAGCAAACAGGAUUAGAUACCCGGGUAGUCCCUGUCUCUUAUAC